rnacentral:rRNA from 1 species
UACAGAGGGUGCGAGCGUUGUUCGGAAUUAUUGGGCGUAAAGGGCGCGUAGGCGGUGCGGUAAGUCACCUGUGAAAUCUCCUGGCUUAACUGGGAGCCUGCAGGCGAAACUGCCGUGCUGGAGUGUGGGAGAGGUGCGUGGAAUUCCCGGUGUAGCGGUGAAAUGCGUAGAUAUCGGGAGGACGACCUGUGGCGAAAGCGGACGCACUGGACCACAACUGACGCUGAGGCGCGAAAAGCUAGGGGGAGCAAACAGGG